AAUAGAUACCCCGGUAGUCCACGCCGUAAACGAUGAGUGCUAAGUGUUAGAGGGUUUCCGCCCUUUAGUGCUGCAGCUAACGCAUUAAGCACUCCGCCUGGGGAGUACGGCCGCAAGGCUGAAACUCAAAGGAAUUGACGGGGGCCCGCACAAGCGGUGGAGCAUGUGGUUUAAUUCGAAGCAACGCGAAGAACCUUACCAGGUCUUGACAUCCUCUGCCAACCCUAGAGAUAGGGCGUUCCCCUUCGGGGGACAGAGUGACAGGUGGUGCAUGGUUGUCGUCAGCCCGUGUCGUGAGAUGUUGGGUUAAGUCCCGCAACGAGCGCAACCCUUGAUCUUAGUUGCCAGCAUUCAGUUGGGCACUCUAAGGUGACUGCCGGUGACAAACCGGAGGAAGGUGGGGAUGACGUCAAAUCAUCAUGCCCCUUAUGACCUGGGCUACACACGUGCUACAAUGGAUGGUACAAAGAGCAGCGAACCGCGAGGGUAAGCCAAUCUCAUAAAGCCAUUCUCAGUUCGGAUUGUAGG
rnacentral:rRNA from 1 species